rnacentral:rRNA from 1 species
CGGGGACAACAUUCCGAAAGGAGUGCUAAUACCGGAUGUGAUCAUCUUGCCGCAUGGCAGGAUGAAGAAAGAUGGCCUCUACAAGUAAGCUAUCGCUAAAGGAUGAGCCUGCGUCUGAUUAGCUAGUUGGUAGUGUAACGGACUACCAAGGCGAUGAUCAGUAGCCGGUCUGAGAGGAUGAACGGCCACAUUGGGACUGAGACACGGCCCAA